GGAGAGUAAGGGUACUCCCGCUACGGCGUAGGAGCUGCUCUGCCUCAGCAAUCCGGAUCGAAAUGUAGAGGCGGCGGUUAACCCAACAAGAAAUGCAUAAAAGCCAGAAACAGAGGCAAAGGCGAAGCAGAAGCUUCUGAAGAGCAAAAGCAAAACCAUAGCUGCGCACGCGGUGCAAACACUCUUAACAUCUUGCUGCUUUUAUCCUUCAUUUCUUCGUCUGCCGUCGCCACGCCCAACGGAAGCGGUUACAAAAGGAGAAAGAUGGGUCGGUUGAGCGUGGCAAAGAGCAAACCAAGUGACACUUUGGUUGUGUUGCAAAUAAUUUAGUGUAUAUGAUAGAGAUUUUGGAUCUGCUACAGCUGCUACCUGCUAGAAGAGGCGAAUGACCCCAUUUUGAUAUGUACUGUUGCAUGAUCUUAUUACAAUAGAUUUGAUUUCAAAAUUAUUAUACUUACAAGUGUGAGAGAUGAUGAUUUUUGGUCACGAAGUUGCAUGUCUACAGGUGAAAAUCAUAAUCCUCAAUGGCCAAGUCUGCAAAUUUUUUGUGAUGGAACAAAUUGGGUCUUUUAUUUGUCAGAGAUGUAUGGAUAUUUUGGUGGCCAGCACUAUCAUGAAGCCAAUAUGAUAUUUAAGUUGGUUUUACUUUUUAUUAUGUUGAAGGAGACUCUGAGAGGUAUUGAUUGAAAUGAAAUAGUUACUGCUUAUCAUGAUUGACAUUAACUCGCUUUAGACUUCAAGAAUUACUUGGAAGCAUUAUCUGAAGUUUUGGUGCAUCCUUUCUAGGUGCCACAUUGAUAAUAAUAUGCAGAGAGUCGGUUUAUA